AUACAUACAUAUAUGUGUACGUGUAUACAUAACACAGACAGACAAUCUUCCCACUGAAAGCCAUUUCUUCUUUCUCUUUUCUAAUCCAGAAUUCUUCAAAUGCUCACGCACACAUACCUUCAUUUACACUCAUACCUUCCCUCCCACUCACUCACUCACACGCACACACCUGUAAUUCCCUCGUACAGUAACAUAAGAACUUUGUCACAUUAUCACACACAUAAAGAUGUGUUCGGUUGCUGUACAGAACAAUGUCAGUAGUGUGAAUUAACAACUGCAACAUGAACUGCAACAAUUACAACAACAACAAUAGUAGUAGUAGUAGCAGUAGUAGUAAUAGUAGUAGUAGUAACAGUAGUAACAACAAUAGCAACGCUGAACAGCAGCAACAGCAGCAGCAACAACAUUAAUAACAGAAUUGGAUAUUUAGGAGGAUGUGUGAAAGAUUGCUAACAAUGUGUGGAUUGUCUGAGAGAUUUCCAGUAUUGUGGGAAAUUGCUGAUUCUGUGGGGGAAUAUGUUGGUAAGUGCUAGCGCUGGUGAGGACAUCUGGAAGAUUGCUAACACUAUGAGGAUAGUUUGGAAGUUUGGUAGUCAGUCAUGUUCUGUGGGAAAAUAUCUGGAAGGUUGCUAAUGUCACAGAAAAUGUUUGAAAGGUUGCUAAUGUCGCAGAGAAUGUCCGUAAGUUGCUAAUGCCACAGAGAAUGUAAGGUUGCUAAUGUCACAGAGAAUGUUUGUAAGGUUGCUAAUGUCGCAGAGAAUGUUUGUAAGGUUGUUAAUGCCAGAGAUAAUGUUUGAAAGGUUGCUAAUGUUAUGACAAAAGUUUGGUAGGUUGCUAAUGCUGCAGAGAAUACCUGGAAGGUUUUUAAUGCCACAGAGAAUAUCUUGACAGUUGCUAAUGCUGCAGAGAAUAUCUAGAAGGCUGUUAAUAUCUGGAAAGUUGUUAAUGCCACAGAUAAUAUCUGGAAGGUUGCUAAUGCCACAGAUAAUAUCUGGAAGGUUGCUAAUGCUGCAGAGAAUGUUUGGAAGGUUGCUAACAUUGAAGAACGAGUGCAAACGGAACAUAAAAGGACUAGAGAGAAAACAAAAACAUUUAAAAACAAAUAGCAAAACUCACCCUACCAAAAAGAAAAAAAAAACCCCGCAAACAAAUGACAAUAUUGUAAUAGCAAUACCAAAACAUAUUGAUUUGUAUA
rnacentral:lncRNA from 1 species